CCUACGGGGGGCUGCAGUGGGGAAUAUUGGACAAUGGGGGCAACCCUGAUCCAGCCAUGCCGCGUGUGUGAAGAAGGCCCUCGGGUUGUAAAGCACUUUCAGUGAGGAAGAACGCCUGGUGGUUAAUACCCAUCAGGAAAGACAUCACUCACAGAAGAAGCACCGGCUAACUCCGUGCCAGCAGCCGCGGUAAUACGGAGGGUGCGAGCGUUAAUCGGAAUUACUGGGCGUAAAGCGCGCGUAGGUGGCUUGAUAAGCCGGUUGUGAAAGCCCCGGGCUCAACCUGGGAACGGCAUCCGGAACUGUCAAGCUAGAGUGCAGGAGAGGAAGGUAGAAUUCCCGGUGUAGCGGUGAAAUGCGUAGAGAUCGGGAGGAAUACCAGUGGCGAAGGCGGCCUUCUGGACUGACACUGACACUGAGGUGCAAAAGCGUGGGUAGCAAACAGGAUUAGAUACCCUAGUAGUC
rnacentral:rRNA from 1 species